rnacentral:rRNA from 1 species
GACGAACGCUGGCGGCGUGCUUAACACAUGCAAGUCGAACGAAGUGGCGAACGGGUGAGUAACGCGUAAUCAACCUGCCCUUCAGAGGGGGACAACAGUUGGAAACGACUGCUAAUACCGCAUACUGAAGGAGGGGAUUGCGUCUGAUUAGCUGGUUGGAGGGGUAACGGCCCACCAAGGCGAUGAGCAGUAGCCGGUCAGGGACGAUGAACCUCCACAUUGGGACUGGGACACUGCCCAGACUCCGAAGGGAGGCAACAGUGGGGAAGCGACCGGAAUGGAGGAAAGGCUGACGAAGCAACGCCGCGUAGGCGAUGACGGCCUUCGGGUUGUAAAGCACUGUUAAUCGGGACGCGGUACCGAAAUAGAAAGCCACGGCUAACUACGUGCCAGCAGCCGCGGUAAGAC